UACGGAGGGUGCGAGCGUUGUCCGGAAUCACUGGGCGUAAAGCGCACGUAGGCGGUUUGUUAAGUCGGAUGUGAAAUCCCUCGGCUCAACCGAGGAAGUGCAUUCGAAACUGGCAGACUUGAAUAUGGAAGAGGGUCGCGGAAUUCCCGGUGUAGAGGUGAAAUUCGUAGAUAUCGGGAGGAACACCAGUGGCGAAGGCGGCGACCUGGGCCAACAUUGACGCUGAGGUGCGAAAGCGUGGGGAGCAAACAGG
rnacentral:rRNA from 1 species